rnacentral:rRNA from 1 species
CAGUCGCCGCGGGAAUACGUAGGGUGCAAGCGUUAAUCGGAAUUACUGGGCGUAAAGCGUGCGCAGGCGGUUCUAUAAGACAGAUGUGAAAUCCCCGGGCUCAACCUGGGAACUGCAUUUGUGACUGUAGAGCUGGAGUGCGGCAGAGGGGGAUGGAAUUCCGCGUGUAGCAGUGAAAUGCGUAGAUAUGCGGAGGAACACCGAUGGCGAUGGCAAUCCCCUGGGCCUGCACUGACGCUCAUGCGCGAAAGCGUGGGGAGCAAACAGGAUUAGAUACCCCUGUAGUCCCUGUCUCUUAUAC